GACGAACGCUGGCGGCGUGCCUAAUACAUGCAAGUUGAGCGCUGAAGGUUGGUACUUGUACCAACUGGAUGAGCAGCGGACGGGUGAGUAACGCGUGGGGAAUCUGCCUUUGAGCGGGGGACAACAUUUGGAAACGAAUGCUAAUACCGCAUAAAAACUUUAAACACAAGUUUUAAGUUUGAAGGAUGCAAUUGCAUCACUCAAAGAUGAUCCCGCGUUGUAUUAGCUAGUUGGUGAGGUAAAGGCUCACCAAGGCGAUGAUACAUAGCCGACCUGAGAGGGUGAUCGGCCACAUUGGGACUGGGACACGGCCCAAACUCCUACGGGAGGCAGCAGUAGGGAAUCUUCGGCAAUGGACGAAAGUCCGACCGAGCAACGCCGCGUGAGUGAAGAAGGUUUUCGGAUCGUAAAACUCUGUUGGUAGAGAAGAACGUUGGUGAGAGUGGAAAGCUCAUCAAGUGACGGUAACUACCCAGAAAGGGACGGCUAACUGCGUG
rnacentral:rRNA from 1 species